AGUGGGAUAGCUGGAUCAAAUGGUGGUUCCAUUGCAAGUUUUCUGAGGAAUAUCCAUACUGCUUUCCAUAUUGUUUGUACCAAUUUGCAGUCCCACCAGCAAU
rnacentral:pre_miRNA from 1 species